rnacentral:rRNA from 1 species
AUACGUAGUUUGAUCAUGGCUACAGAACGACGCUGGCGGCAUGCCUAACACAUGCAAGUCGAACGAAGGCUUCGGCCUUAGUGGCGCACGGGUGCGUAACGCGUGGGAACCUGCCCCUCGGUUCGGAAUAACAGUUAGAAAUGACUGCUAAUACCGGAUGAUGACUUCGGUCCAAAGAUUUAUCGCCGAGGGAUGGGCCCGCGUAGGAUUAGCUAGUUGGUGGGGUAAAGGCCUACCAAGGCGACGAUCCUUAGCUGGUCUGAGAGGAUGAUCAGCCACACUGGGACUGAGACACGGCCCAGACUCCUACGGGAGGCAGCAGUGGGGAAUAUUGGACAAUGGGCGAAAGCCUGAUCCAGCAAUGCCGCGUGAGUGAUGAAGGCCUUAGGGUUGUAAAGCUCUUUUACCAGGGAUGAUAAUGACAGUACCUGGAGAAUAAGCUCCGGCUAACUCCGUG